AGUGAACGCUGGCGGUAGGCCUAACACAUGCGAGUCGAACGGCAGCACAGUAAGAGCUUGCUCUUACGGGUGGCGAGUGGCGGACGGGUGAGGAAUACAUCGGAAUCUACUUUUUCGUGGGGGAUAACGUAGGGAAACUUACGCUAAUACCGCAUACGACCUACGGGUGAAAGCAGGGGAUCUUCGGACCUUGCGCGAUUGAAUGAGCCGAUGUCGGAUUAGCUAGUUGGCGGGGUAAAGGCCCACCAAGGCGACGAUCCGUAGCUGGUCUGAGAGGAUGAUCAGCCACACUGGAACUGAGACACGGUCCAGACUCCUACGGGAGGCAGCAGUGGCGAAUAUUGGACAAUGGGCGCAAGCCUGAUCCAGCCAUACCGCGUGGGUGAAGAAGGCCUUCGGGUUGUAAAGCCCUUUUGUUGGGAAAGAAAAGCAGCAGGUUAAUACCCCGCUGUUCUGACGGUACCCAAAGAAUAAGCACCGGCUAACUUCGUG
rnacentral:rRNA from 1 species